AUAUAUAAACCCCACAAACAAACAAACAAACAAAAAAAAACACCCCAAAAAAAAGAGCAAACCAAACACACAAAAGAACACCAUACCAAACCCACAUUUCAACAUCAGUGGACACCAGAAGAGCGUUUAAGGUCAUCUACUUAUCUGGAAUAUUUAGUACUGCCCCACACAACAUCUUGAUUCUAUAAUGGAGAGGCGUGCAUUUGACAGGAGGACCACUCACUGUAUAAGGAAUUGUUUGGAUGGUCAUACUCAAGGGUUGCCAUCAACAUCUUGAAGUCCAGCUGGAGACCCAUGAUGAGUCAUGUCACUCAGGGGUUUGUGUUGGGACCAGAAUUAUUUAACAUGUUUGUCGGGGACACGGAAAGUGGGAUCCACAGGAAGUUUGCAGGUGACACCAAGCUGAGUGAUGUGCUUGGUACACCGGAAAGAAGGGAUGUGAUCCAGGGAGACCUUGAAACAAUAGAGAGAAUGGUUGUGCAAAUGACAUGAAGACCAAGAAGGCCAAGUGUAAGGUCCUGCACCUGGGUCAGUGGAAUUCCAGCAAAUGGGUACAGGCUGAGAUAUGAUGGGAAUAAGGACAGCCCUAUGGAACAGGAAAUUUCAGAUGAAAGAGGUGAGGGCAUAACAACCAAAAAAAUCUUCGGAAAGCAGUAACUACUAGGUGAUCAGAUGCUUCAUGAGUGAAGAACGUUUGUGGCCUCACGGGGCUCUGACACACAGUAUAAAAGCCUGGCUGAUCCAGGCUCUACAUCCUCUUCUUUUGCCUCCAUUUCCUCAAGGAACGAGCUUUCCCUCCCUCCCUGAGAGAUGUCUUGCUUCAGACCGUGUAUCCCACCACCUUGUGGUUCCUCUGGCCCAACCCCACUUGCAAGCAGCUGCAGUGAGCCCUGUGUCGCCCGCUGUGGUGACUCGACGGUGGCCAUCGAGGCCGCCCCGGUGGUGGUGACCCUGCCAGGCCCCAUCCUCACUUCUUUCCCUCAGAACACAGUUGUGGGAUCCUCUCUGUCAGCUGCUGUUGGGAGCUCCCUCAGCACUGGGGGGGUUCCCAUCUCUUCUGGGGGCUCCCUUGGUCUGGGGGGGUCAGGGCUGUGCCUGACGCCUCUCCGCUGCCGUCUGAACUGCUGAACCUGGUGCAUCGUCCCUUCUGGAGCAGGAAGAAUGAUGGGGACUGCACAGCAGGAGUGUGGCCAGGCCUUGUAGAUGGGCUGGGUGUCCUCAUGCCAGCUGGCAGGAGGGACCUGUGCCCACGGCUCCUGGCUGCACGUCAGGCCUCGCUGUGCCUCCUCUGGCUCUGCUUUGCUCUGAGCUCCUUGAGAAAGGGCUCGUUCUCUUCUGCUUUGCUGAACCUUCUGGUGCUGGAGGAGGGUGCUGGAGUUAGGGACUGCUCUUGCUGGUCUGGGAUGGCCAGCAAGUGGAGCAGAAUGGGGAAAGGCAAGUGCUUUGUGUGGAGCUUGUUCCUGGCAAAUGGGCUGUUCUCUGUGUCCCCCUGAACCCUGCAGACGUGUUUCUUGGUCUUUGUUCUGUGCCACUGCUUUUGCUCCUUUUCAUUAAAGACUUUUUGCAGCAUA